GCUCCUUGAGGGAGAGUGCGCUGGUAAAGGGAGGGAGGGAAUGAGGCAAACAAGAAACAUGUAAUCACCCAAACAACCGUUUUAGUCCUUUCCCCCUGGAUUUGUGUCGUAAGAUAGCCUACAGUAUCUACUUCAAAGGAUACACAGGGGGCCGCGAGACUGUUACAAUGGGACUUGAAGCUUUUGGGAGAAUUGGCACCUGAAUCGGAGAGAGGUUUGUGCAGAGCGUCCCCAUCCACCACGACAACUGUGUUUCCAAGGUGACGUUAUUGAGCUUGUAAAUAAGAAGAGCCAGACAUCAUAGAACCUGAAGGAUAUGGGCCACAGACAGCAAACGUAUAAUUAGAGCUGUAUGGUACGAAGUUUUCUAAAAUGUCCAAGCUGGAGGAUAAUCUCUCCCGAUGGGACCUUAUGGAUCCUUGAGGCACAUUUAUUCAACACGAGGAAAGAUACCUACAUACAACGUUUCAAGUCUCUAGGUCAAAUGGGGUGACAGAUAUGAGUGUUUAAGUAAGGCUGCUUAUUGUACCGCCCCUAUAGGCCAAUCGGUGCCAUUGUUUUUGACCAAUUUACUCAUGGCCUCUAAAUUCUGUGUGGGGGGAGACUGGUGCCCAAAACUGAUGACGUAUGUCGUGCAGUGAGAGUUGUGAGAGAGUGGGGACGGUUCAGUCUGUCUCCUUAUGAGCACUCCCCAGCUAGCUAGUUUAUGCUUGUGGCGUGAAACUUCAAAAAUAAUUUGAAACUUGUCUGCCGAAGUUGGGACCUGGGAAAGUGUUCAGAAUUAUUAUAUAUUUUCUUACACAAAAAUGUUGACGUUAAUGGCGUAGUUGUACAUUUUCGGUGAAAAUUUCCACAAUAAAUGUGCUGUAGCUGUCAUCCUGGCCUGAUAUGGGUUGCACUAUCUAGCUACUUCCCUCUCCUUACUGCAGGACAGAAAUGCUCGGCAUUAUUCGGCAAAGCAGGAACGAAGGAGACACUGUUGUUGUGUUGUCGGCUCGCUGUGCAAACUCUCCUUAUUGAGCAAUAGACUGCAUCAGGGUGACACCCAGAUGGUUACUACCAAUAUUACAAGUUACUAUAUUACUCGAAGUACAAUCAAGUGGAAUGGAACAAAUUGCCCAUGUUAGCUACAGCCAGCGACAUGUGAUACAGCUGCUGGAUAAAGCAACUACUGCCCAGUGGGAAGAAUCUCAAUGCAACACCAUUGCACUGGUUAUUCAUACCACCGGGUUACGUUGUCUAAUUGGCAUGUCACGGUGACAUCCAGAUGGUGACCAAUUCUGCAAGUUAUUUCUCCCUCGCCCAUCGAAAUAAACAUUGCUUUCUUUUAGUUUGAAUGAGAGCCACGCCGCUGUUGCCACUCCACGUCAUCAUUUUGGGCACCAGGCAUGUCCGUAUAGCCUCUCCCUUAGUCUGCCAAUUUAUUUAUUUUUUGUUGCCAUUGAGGUUUGAGGUUAUUUGAGCAAAAAAUAUUGUUUGAUACCAAUAGGUUUCACAGCUUCGCUGUGAACACCUAAUAAGUUAUAUUUGCAAAAUAAGUUAUUUAAAAAUGUGCUAGCUAAUUGUUAUAAUUUAUAGUUUAUAAUAUUAUAGUUUAUAAUUAUCAUUGUUACAACAUAUAAAAUAUUGUAUUAGGAUACAUUAAUAAGGUAUUGUUUCUUGAUCUCCUUUUCAUUACUUAAGAGUGUCCAUGUUCAAAAUAAAUAAAUACAUUCAAAUUUGAAAUAUCCAUUGAAGAUUGGAGGAUUAUUUCAUUGUCCAAUGUCCAUGAAUGCAGAGCACAAAUGUGCCUUCUGCUUUGCCCCAACCCCUUUUAAAGACACCAAAUUCACCAAAAACUCCAUUAAAAAAACACUUCAAGGCUCAACACACUGGUCCAGCAUCCACUUCAAAAACAUGUCUGGUUGUGUGCAGGCUCUUUUUCUAGCCGGUAGCUAUGUCCACUAGAUCCAGCUGUGGAAUGUCAUGUGAAAGCAUCUGCUCUGUUUCUGAGCUUCCGUUCGCUUGGUCAUUAUGGACAAUUACCGGUUUAAAAUUUGAUAUUGAUGUUCACUUUCGGACACUCAGACACUCUGAUGCAGUUUGAAAGGAUAUUUACUUAUAUAU